GUGCUCACUUUGGCAGCACAUAUGCUAAAAUUGGAACAAUACAAAGAAGAUUAGCAUGGCCUCUAUGUAAGGAUGACACCCAAAAUAGCGAAGUGUUCUAUGUUUAU